AGGGAUGGGGAUAUCCUUUCGAAAGGAGGGGCAAUACCGAAUAUUGUCCGGAGCCGUGAAGGGUUCCGGGGAAAGGGAGGCCUCUGACACAAGCUUUCGCCUUAAGAUGAGCCCAUGGCCCAUCAGCUAGUUGGUAGGGUAAAGGCCUACCAAGGCUACGACGGGUCGCUGGUCUGAGAGGACGACCAGCCACACUGGCACUGAGAUACGGGCCAGACUCCUACGGGAGGCAGCAGUGAGGAAUAUUGCGCAAUGGGGGAAACCCUGACGCAGCAACGCCGCGUGUGGGAAGAAGGCCUUCGGGUCGUAAACCACUUUUACUCGGGACGAAAAAGGGAUAUCAAAUAAAUAUCCCCGAUGACGGUACCGUGAGAAUAAGCCACGGCUAACUCUGUGCCAGCAGCCGCGGUAAGACAGAGGUGGCAAGCGUUGUUCGGAAUUACUGGGCGUAAAGAGUCUGUAGGUGGUUUGUCAAGUCUUUGGUGA
rnacentral:rRNA from 1 species